rnacentral:rRNA from 1 species
GACGAACGCUGGCGGCGUGCUUAACACAUGCAAGUCGAACGGCAAGGCCCUGCUUUUGUGGGGUUCUCGAGUGGCGAACGGGUGAGUAACACGUGAGUAACCUGCCCUUCACUUUGGGAUAACUUCAGGAAACUGGGGCUAAUAUCGGAUAGGAUCUCCUGCUGCAUGGUGGGGGUUGGAAAGUUUCGGCGGGUGGGGAUGGACGCGCGGCUUACCAGCUUGUUGGUGGGGUAGGUGCUUACCAAGGCUUUGACGGGUAGCCGGCCUGAGAGGGUGAACGGCCACAAUGGGACUACGGGAGGGACCAGACUGCUACGGGAGGCAGCGGUGGGAAAUAUUGCACAAUGAGCGGGAGCGUGAUAAGGAGACGCCGGGUGCGGAAAGACGGCCUUUGGGUUGAGAACCGCUGUAGGCUGUGACGAAGCGUUAGUGACGGUACUGAGUAAAGAAGCACCGGCUAACUACGUG